GACGAACGCUGGCGGCGUGCUUAACACAUGCAAGUCGAACGGAAAGGCCCUGCUUUUGUGGGGUGCUCGAGUGGCGAACGGGUGAGUAACACGUGAGUAACCUGCCCUUGACUUUGGGAUAACUUCAGGAAACUGGGGCUAAUACCGGAUAGGAGCUCCUGCUGCAUGGGGGGGGUUGGAAAGUUUCGGCGGUUGGGGAUGGACUCGCGGCUUAUCAGCUUGUUGGUGGGGUAGUGGCUUACCAAGGCUUUGACGGGUAGCCGGCCUGAGAGGGGGACCGGCCACAUUGGGACUGAGAUACGGCCCAGACUCCUACGGGAGGCAGCAGUGGGGAAUAUUGCACAAUGGGCGGAAGCCUGAUGCAGCAACGCCGCGUGCGGGAUGACGGCCUUCGGGUUGUAAACCGCUUUCGCCUGUGACGAAGCGUGAGUGACGGUAAUGGGUAAAGAAGCACCGGCUAACUACGUG
rnacentral:rRNA from 1 species